CGCUCGACGGGGGGUCGUGCGCUGCCGCUCUGCGUGCCGCGGUGCGACGCUGUUCCCGGGAGGCCUCUAACAUGACUUCAGCGGGCAUCGCAACACAGGAGAGCAGAGACCAAGCUGACAGUGGAGAGGGCUCCCAUUAUGCGUUUCGAUCACUCGACUUCUAUUCGCCUCGUCCCUGUAAAGGAAGUACAAGCCUGGAAGCGGGGCUACCGUUAAGGAAAGCAAAGCGGUCGUUAUCCAACGUGUACGGAAGGGACUGACCAACAAGAAGCUGCCAAAACUCCCUCUUCACUUACGACUUCGUUUCUCUUUCUAGAAAUGAAGUUAAGAAUACCAACUAGCAGUUUAUAGUGUUAAAACUACGAC